GGUUAAGCGACUAAGCGUACACGGUGGAUGCCCUGGCAGUCAGAGGCGAUGAAGGACGUGCUAAUCUGCGAAAAGCGACGGCGAGGUGAUAUGAACCUUUGACCCGUCGAUGUCCGAAUGGGGAAACCCAGUGUGUUUCGACACACUAUCGUUAACUGAAUACAUAGGUUAACGAGGCGAACCGGGGGAACUGAAACAUCUAAGUACCCCGAGGAAAAGAAAUCAACCGAGAUUCCCCCAGUAGCGGCGAGCGAACGGGGAGCAGCCCGGAGUCUGAAUCAGCUUGUGUGUUAGUGGAAGCGUCUGGAAAGUCGCACGGUACAGGGUGACAGUCCCGUACACGAAAAUGCACAGGUUGUGAACUCGAAGAGUAGGGCGGGACACGUGGUAUCCUGUCUGAAUAUGGGGGGACCAUCCUCCAAGGCUAAAUACUCCUGACUGACCGAUAGUGAACCAGUACCGUGAGGGAAAGGCGAAAAGAACCCCGGCGAGGGGAGUGAAAAAGAACCUGAAACCGUGUACGUACAAGCAGUGGGAGCACCUUCGGGUGUGACUGCGUACCUUUUGUAUAAUGGGUCAGCGACUUAUAUUCUGUAGCAAGGUUAACCGUAUAGGGGAGCCGCAGGGAAACCGAGUCUUAACUGGGCGUUAAGUUGCAGGGUAUAGACCCGAAACCCGGUGAUCUAGCCAUGGGCAGGUUGAAGGUUGGGUAACACUAACUGGAGGACCGAACCGACUAAUGUUGAAAAAUUAGCGGAUGACCUGUGGCUGGGGGUGAAAGGCCAAUCAAACCGGGAGAUAGCUGGUUCUCCCCGAAAGCUAUUUAGGUAGCGCCUCGUGAACUCAUCUUCGGGGGUAGAGCACUGUUUCGGCUAGGGGGCCAUCCCGGCUUACCAACCCGAUGCAAACUACGAAUACCGAAGAAUGUUAUCACGGGAGACACACGGCGGGUGCUAACGUCCGUCGUGAAGAGGGAAACAACCCAGACCGCCAGCUAAGGUCCCAAAGUCAUGGUUAAGUGGGAAACGAUGUGGGAAGGCACAGACAGCCAGGAUGUUGGCUUAGAAGCAGCCAUCAUUUAAAGAAAGCGUAAUAGCUCACUGGUCGAGUCGGCCUGCGCGGAAGAUGUAACGGGGCUAAACCAUGCACCGAAGCUGCGGCAGCGACACUAUGUGUUGUUGGGUAGGGGAGCGUUCUGUAAGCCGUCGAAGGUGUGCUGUGAGGCAUGCUGGAGGUAUCAGAAGUGCGAAUGCUGACAUAAGUAACGAUAAAGCGGGUGAAAAGCCCGCUCGCCGGAAGACCAAGGGUUCCUGUCCAACGUUAAUCGGGGCAGGGUGAGUCGACCCCUAAGGCGAGGCCGAAAGGCGUAGUCGAUGGGAAACAGGUUAAUAUUCCUGUACUUGGUGUUACUGCGAAGGGGGGACGGAGAAGGCUAUGUCAGCCGGGCGACGGUUGUCCCGGUUUAAGCGUGUAGGUGUGUGUUCCAGGCAAAUCCGGUUCACUUUAACACUGAGGCGUGAUGACGAGGCACUACGGUGCUGAAGUGAUAAAUGCCCUGCUUCCAGGAAAAGCCUCUAAGCAUCAGGUAACACGAAAUCGUACCCCAAACCGACACAGGUGGUCAGGUAGAGAAUACCAAGGCGCUUGAGAGAACUCGGGUGAAGGAACUAGGCAAAAUGGUGCCGUAACUUCGGGAGAAGGCACGCUGAUAUGUAGGUGAAGUCCCUGCGGACGGAGCUGAAAUCAGUCGAAGAUACCAGCUGGCUGCAACUGUUUAUUAAAAACACAGCACUGUGCAAACACGAAAGUGGACGUAUACGGUGUGACGCCUGCCCGGUGCCGGAAGGUUAAUUGAUGGGGUUAGCGGCAAAGCGAAGCUCUUGAUCGAAGCCCCGGUAAACGGCGGCCGUAACUAUAACGGUCCUAAGGUAGCGAAAUUCCUUGUCGGGUAAGUUCCGACCUGCACGAAUGGCGUAAUGAUGGCCAGGCUGUCUCCACCCGAGACUCAGUGAAAUUGAACUCGCUGUGAAGAUGCAGUGUACCCGCGGCAAGACGGAAAGACCCCGUGAACCUUUACUAUAGCUUGACACUGAACACUGGUCCUUGAUGUGUAGGAUAGGUGGGAGGCUUUGAAGCGUGGACGCCAGUCUGCGUGGAGCCAUCCUUGAAAUACCACCCUUUAAUGGCUGGUGUUCUAACGUGGACCCGUGAUCCGGGUUGCGGACAGUGUCUGGUGGGUAGUUUGACUGGGGCGGUCUCCUCCCAAAGAGUAACGGAGGAGCACGAAGGUUAGCUAAUCCUGGUCGGACAUCAGGAGGUUAGUGCAAUGGCAUAAGCUAGCUUGACUGCGAGAGUGACGGCUCGAGCAGGUGCGAAAGCAGGUCAUAGUGAUCCGGUGGUUCUGAAUGGAAGGGCCAUCGCUCAACGGAUAAAAGGUACUCCGGGGAUAACAGGCUGAUACCGCCCAAGAGUUCAUAUCGACGGCGGUGUUUGGCACCUCGAUGUCGGCUCAUCACAUCCUGGGGCUGAAGUAGGUCCCAAGGGUAUGGCUGUUCGCCAUUUAAAGUGGUACGCGAGCUGGGUUUAGAACGUCGUGAGACAGUUCGGUCCCUAUCUGCCGUGGGCGCUGGAGAAUUGAGGGGGGCUGCUCCUAGUACGAGAGGACCGGAGUGGACGCAUCACUGGUGUUCGGGUUGUCAUGCCAAUGGCACUGCCCGGUAGCUAAAUGCGGAAGAGAUAAGUGCUGAAAGCAUCUAAGCACGAAACUUGCCCCGAGAUGAGUUCUCCCUGAGACUUUAAGUCUCCUGAAGGAACGUUGAAGACGACGACGUUGAUAGGCCGGGUGUGUAAGCGCAGCGAUGCGUUGAGCUAACCGGUACUAAUGAACCGUGAGGCUUAACCUU
rnacentral:rRNA from 1 species